AUGUCUGCCAUCCCCGUGCCCCCCCCAAAGGGCCAUCCGCACACCCUGCCCUCAGCCUCCCUGUCUACCAUCCUCCAGUCCCCCUCUUUCCAGGCCCCACUCGUGCCGGGGCCAUCAGCAGGUCUCCUGAGCUGGGAGAUGUAUAUCUCCACCUCUGCCUGUUUCUCCAUCGGGACAACGUGGACAACAGACCGUGGCUGGGAGCUUCACCUCCUCCAUCGCUUCCCUCCCGCUGCCUUCUCAGGACUCUGGGUUAGAGCCGUAAUUCUGCCACAGCUGACUUCCGUCAACAGAAAACAGUCAGGACCAGCUGUGAACCAAGCCCGAGUUUUUGUCUUCGGCCCAAGGCAGCAGAUGGCAUGGCAACGUCAGGCCAGGGCGGCAGGACCCUCAGCCACACGCUGGGGCCCUACAUUUCAAGGACAUAUUGGCUGGUCUCCGACGCGUGUGUGUUCUACGAAGUCAAGCAAGAUGCUUGCUGCUCUCUGACCAUCAGGAACAACUGAUGUGAUGUCAUCAGCAGGGAGACCAGAGCGGUGGCCCCAGGACCUCCCGGUGAGCAAGAUCCCUGUAGAGGGGUGAUCAGGAGGGUGAAGCGGGCCCCGGGCAGGGCUGUGAAGAUGAACCCUCACCUGUGCCAGGUGGAAGCUCAUGCUCCGGGAUCGCAGGAAACCACGUUCCCAGUGGCCUGUCCUGUGCCUUCUCCCAGAGGACCCACUCCCUCAGUGGAGAUUCCAUGGUUGGAAAAGUGUCAGCAGCUGGGUCCCCUGGGUGAAGUCAAGACUAAUCCCCAGCAGUGGUUCUCAGUUGGGGUGGGGGGUGGGUGGACAUUGGGCAGUGCCCAGAGACAUUUAUAAUUGUUACAUUCGGGGGAUGUCACAGGCUUCCAGUAGGGGAGGGCCAGGGAAGCUGCCAACACCUUGUCAAGACCAGGUCGGCCCCACCACAAAGGGUCAUCUGUCCCCAAAGUCCUAAGUGUUGAGAUUGUGCAACCCUUAUCCAGGGUCACUUUCUGAGAUCCAUCUGCCUCCCGCACAGGCCACGGUGCCAGGAAUCCCGGCACCUGCCGCUCCAGGCCCAGCCUCAGCCUCACCACAGGGUGCUGUGCCUCCCUGGCUUUCCUCUCCUGGGUAGAGAGCAGCUCCAGGGGUGUCUGCUGUCUCUCCCCACCCCAACAGGCGUCAUUCUGUGGGUUUGGGGCCAACGUGGGGAUUCUCCCAGUGGCCGACUGUGUCCAGUCCAAUCAUGCAUUCCGGGACUGUGGACGUGACUCAGGCCAUGGAGCUCACGUGGAAGUGGACGUGACCACAGGUGUCGCUUUCCUCUGGACUGCAUGGGGCUCAGGCUGCAUGGGGCUCAGGGUCUCCAGGAAGCAGAUCGGCACACAGCCUGCUCCCACACGGCCCAGCUGGAUCCCUGCUGUCGAGCACAGCCUGCUGCAGACCCGCUUGGGGCCGGUGCAGGGGAAGUGUCCAAGUUCCUCCUUGUGAGUGUGUAGGGGACCUUCCUGAAGGCUCCAGGACCCUGGGGAGAGCGGCCUGGCUGGUGCUGAAGCUGAGUAAGUGGCUGGGACUCCUCAUGGGGACGCCACAAGUGAAGCUUCUGGUGGGUAGACACCGAGGACACCUGCCCUGUAGGUCGAGCUCCACUUCACUAGGCCUUCCAUCUGAUUGAUCCCAGAGAUCCUGAUCAAUCAGCCAUGAUGAAAGCACAUGCCGAGCUAAACCUCCCAAUGAUCAUUCUGUCCCCACUGCCCACGACAGCUGACAGCUCUUGUCCUGGACUGGCCAGCAGCAGUGAAACCCCGCCCGGCCACUGCCACUCCCCAACCUGUCGUUCUCACUAGACCCAGGGGCCCACCCCAGGGAGUGUGGUCAGCUGCAAAUGCCUCCACCUCGCCCCUCGCCGAGAUUCCCCUCCUGAGCCCUGGAGCCCUGGGAGUUGCCAGAUACUGCGAGGUCCAUGCAGGGGUGAUAUAAGGUGCAGGAUCCCGAGACGCGGGGAUAUCCGGACAACCCUGGAGGCCCUAAAUUCCAUCACAAGUGUCCUCAUCAGAGAGUUGCAGAGGAGACGUGACCACACCCUGUGGAGACGGCCAUGUGGGACAGGGUGGGGAUUGGAAGAUGCUGGUCUUGGAGACCGGAGUGAGGCAGCCACAAACCCAGGAACGUCGGUGGACCCCGGAAGCCGGGAGAGGCUGGGAAGGAUUCCGUACUGGAGCCUCCAGAGGAAGCGCCCUCAUUUCUGCCCAGUGAGGCUAACUUUGGACUUCGUGCUUUCGAAGGGAUCGAAAGGGACCCGGGCAGUGGACUCUCCCCUGGCAAGCGAGCCGCGGAGAGGCGCAGGAGGUGCAGACUUUCAUUCCUGUGUCCCCGCACCAAGGUCCAAGGCCCUGGCCCUUCCGGAAGGACGCCCAAUGUCCCCCGAAGAGCCUUGACACGUGAGGGACCUCCGCUUUGCGCUUCGUCGUCGGCUCAAUUACAUGCAGGUUCGUUUUCGGUGAAGUCAUCCCCGAGGCUAAAAGAAAUGAGAUUAUUUCAGGGCCACCACCGUAGGUCUCUGCUUUGACUGUAGCUGGAGCGAGUCACGCCUCCCUGCGAGUUCCAGGGGCAGCGGAAGUCGGCCGGCCCUGUUCUCUGCAGCUGCCAUUGCAAAAUACAGUCCUGGUCAAGUGCAGCCCCCACGGGGUCCCCAAGGAACUUACUUUGAAGGAAACUCAAUCACGAUCCACACAGUGACAGUCCUGUUGACUGUGAUGUCCCUGCACGGCUCCGACAGCCAGUGUCCGGUUUUCCUUGGUAGAAAGCGCAGCGCUGUUUCCAGGGUAACAGCAGCCUCCACCGUCCCGGAAUUCCCGCUGCGAUGGCUGGUUCUGGGGACUGUUCCCAGGAUGAGUAUCAGCCAACGUCCAGCCAGGGACUGGAACCCCCCUGGGUGCUUCCACAGAGGGAGUCCAACCCCAGAACGGCUGCCUGGGCCUUGGAGGGCGAAGGCAGGAAGCAGCCUCCACUCAGGGCUGGGAGGGUGGUGGAGGUGAGGUUGCCCAGGUCCAGAGGCUCAGGGAGGGGCUGCAGGGUGGAGAUGCAGACAGAGGGGGGGGCAUCGUGAGGAUAGUGCGGACACCCAGGGAGGCAGAGGAGAUGGCCUCGCCCCCGCCUCCUGUCCACACUGUCCAGAGAGAGAGGGGUGGGCACAGAUGCCGAGGCCCUGCCCACCCCACACCCUGGCCACCUGGCCUUGGUGCCUGCAGUGCCUCAUGCUCCUGAUAAGCAGUGAAGGGGAUGCCCUGGGGAGGGAGGGCUGAGCUCCCAGGGCAGAGACGCACACUCGGGACUUCCAGGUGCUGUGAGGAUGAGGUCAGUUACACCCGCACGUGCAUGGGGGAAGCUCUUCUGUUUGUUCACAGGUGGAAACGCCACAGAUCCCUCGUUGGGAAGUCAGGCUGGUAGUGAGCUGUUCUUUGGCCCUAAAAGGACUCGGCAUCUCCCUGUGGCUGGCUGGGGACACAUAGGGGCAGGAGUCUCCAUGCUGGACCAGCUCGUUUCCAAGCCGUUAUCCCUGAUCAGAGCCUUGGGGACCAAGAAGGGGCAUCCAUGUCGGGGCUCUGUUAACAGAACUCCCAGCAUCCUCCACCCCUCCCGUCCUCCUUCCCUCCCUCCCAUCCUUCCUUCCUUGCUCCUUCCUUUCUCCCUUUGUGAGGUCAGGAGGUGGCCCGGGGCCUGGCUUUCUCACCUGUACGAUGGGAGGUGGGUGGCGCCGGGCAAUGCCCAUCUUCCCCUCUGGUGGCCGAUGUCGAGGACCCCUUGACAGGCCCUGAGUGCUCCCGGGAGGGUCUGGUUUUCUGACAAGUCAGCCACGGCCCUGGCUGGGCAGGAAUAUUCAGCCCACGACGGUGGGAAACAGGGCAGCCCCGCCUGGCCAGCCGGGAGUGUCCACUUGGGAUUUGAUGCAAGCCAGGGCUGCAGCCCACCCUGCUCCUCACCCACUGGCCAGGCACCCGUAAGCUCCACACCAAGGGCAGGUGGGCGGGCAGGUGGGUGCAGGGCUGUGGAAGCUAGUGAGUGCCAGGCCUGCUCCUCGGUGCCUCAGACCCGCGGGCCUCCAGCUGCACCUGGCCCCGCGUCCCUGGGACGCUGACCUCGGGGCUUCUCUCUGCAGUUUCGCCCUCACAGAUCAGCAGUGUUGGAGGGUUGGGUUUACCCCUCACCUCCUUUCCCACUCAGAUGCAGGAGGGCUGGGCUGACGCCUCCCAGGAAGGCCCAGCUCCCCACGGAGGGUGGCCCUCCUCUGUGGCCACUGGGGACCCUCUGUGCUCCAGCCCUCCAGGCCCAGUGGUCAGGACAUCGUAAGGAAUGCUGUGGCUGGGGCUUCGAGAACCCUGUCCCCCACCAGCUCCUCUGCCCCUCCUGCACCUCUGCACAAGGUGCUGCUUCCCCUCCAGGGCUGUGGCCCCUCACGGGGGGUUUGCGGAUGUAUCCAGGGCCCAGCUGACCUGCCAGGGCCAGUGCUCUUUCCUCCUGAUGGCAGCUCCCUGACAAGGUGUGGAGGAGGCUGCCCCCAGUGCCCACAGAGGACUUUCAACAGGGCAGGGCAGGGCAGUGCCACCUGCCUGGCGCUGGGCACCCCCACCUUCCUGGGAGCUGUGGUGCUGGAGAAUGAGGACACUCCUGCCUCUGAAAACCCGUGGCCCUGAACCCACAGCAGGGAUGGGAGCGCCUGACUCAGAUGCUGUCUGCCGUCUGCUCCUGGGGCAAACUCCCCCUCCCUGAGAGGCUUACCUGGCUGUGGGGAGGGAGGGGCCCAGCUGUGUGUGUACGUUUAUCUCUGCAGACGGGCUCUCCUGGGCGACAGCCCCCUCGCACUGUAAUUCUGGAGAUUUUCCUCGCGUGUCAUUUUUAAUAGAUGUGAUUAUGGUUUGGAGUCUGAUAUUCUGGUAAUUAUCUUCCUGGGCUUAAUCCCCGUGCCCUCAUAAUGCCAUUAGGGACUCGACAUGGGAGUCUUAAAACAGUGAUUAUUUAUCGUGCGUGCCUUCAGCUCAGAGCAAUCCCGACC
rnacentral:lncRNA from 1 species